UUGAACGCUGGCGGCAGGCCUAACACAUGCACGUCGAACGGUAACAGGAAGCAGCUUGCUGCUUCGCUGACGAGUGGCGGACGGGUGAGUAAUGUCUGGGAAACUGCCUGAUGGAGGGGGAUAACUACUGGAAACGGUAGCUAAUACCGCAUAACGUCGCAAGACCAAAGAGGGGGACCUUAGGGCCUCUUGCCAUCGGAUGUGCCCAGAUGGGAUUAGCUAGUAGGUGGGGUAACGGCUCACCUAGGCGACGAUCCCUAGCUGGUCUGAGAGGAUGACCAGCCACACUGGAACUGAGACACGGUCCAGACUCCUACGGGAGGCAGCAGUGGGGAAUAUUGCACAAUGGGCGCAAGCCUGAUGCAGCCAUGCCGCGUGUAUGAAGAAGGCCUUCGGGUUGUAAAGUACUUUCAGCGGGGAGGAAGGGAGUAAAGUUAAUACCUUUGCUCAUUGACGUUACCCGCAGAAGAAGCACCGGCUAACUCCGUG
rnacentral:rRNA from 1 species